rnacentral:rRNA from 1 species
GAUGAACGCUAGCGGUGCGCCUAACACAUGUAAGUCGUGCGAUCGAACCGAACUGAGUCCCUUCGGGGGCGAUGAUUGGUGACGGAGCGGCGGACGGGUGAGUAACGCGUGGCUAACCUACCCUCUUGACGGGCACAACCACCCGAAAGGGCGGCUAAUACCCGAUAUUGUCUGGAACCGACAGGUUCCUUUCCAAAGGCGGUCCUGCCGCCGCAAGAGGAUGGGGCUGCGUCCUAUUAGCUAGUUGGUGAGGUAACGGCCCACCAAGGCUGCGAUGGGUAGCUGGUCUGAGAGGACGGCCAGCCACAUUGGGACUGAGACACGGCCCAGACUCCUACGGGAGGCAGCAGUGGGGAAUAUUGGACAAUGGGGGCAACCCUGAUCCAGCGACGCCGCGUGAGUGAAGAAGUAUUUCGGUAUGUAAAGCUCUAUCAGCAGGGAAGAUAAUGACAGUACCUGACUAAGAAGCCCCGGCUAACUACGUGCCAGCCGCCGCAGUAACAC